GCAUGGUAAUGGAUUUAUGGCAGGCUCUUCUCUGUGGGCCUCUCAUAGUGUACCCAUGCCAGAGUAAACUACAGCCUCGAACCAUGGCCCAGCCUCCUUAACCCAUGGGCUGUGAGCACUGAAGGGGGUUGCAUAGUG
ensembl:snoRNA